rnacentral:rRNA from 1 species
AGUGUGGGGAGCAAACAGGAUUAGAUACCCUGGUAGUCCACACCGUAAACGAUGAAUGCCAGACGUCAGCAAGCAUGCUUGUUGGUGUCACACCUAACGGAUUAAGCAUUCCGCCUGGGGAGUACGGUCGCAAGAUUAAAACUCAAAGGAAUUGACGGGGGCCCGCACAAGCGGUGGAGCAUGUGGUUUAAUUCGACGCAACGCGCAGAACCUUACCAGCCCUUGACAUACUUGUCGCGGAUUCCAGAGAUGGAUUCCUUCAGUUCGGCUGGACAAUGUACAGGUGCUGCAUGGCUGUCGUCAGCUCGUGUCGUGAGAUGUUCGGUUAAGUCCGGCAACGAGCGCAACCCACGUCCUUAGUUACCAGCAUUUAGUUGGGUACCCUAAGGAGACUGCCGGUGAUAAGCCGGAGGAAGGUGUGGACGACGUCAAGUCAUCAUGGCCCUUACGGGUUGGGCUACACACGUGCUACAAUGGCAUCUACAGUGAGUUAAUCUCCAAAAGAUGUCUCAGUUCGGAUUGGGGUCUGCAACUCGACCCCAUGAAGUUGGAAUCGCUAGUAAUCGCGGAACAGCAUGCCGCGGUGAAUACGUUCCCGGGCCUUGUACACACCGCCCGUCACACCAUGGGAAUUGGGUCUACCCGAAGGUGGUGCGCCAACUAUUUAUAGAGGCAGCCAACCACGGUAGGUUCAGUGACUGGGGUGAAGUCGUAACAAGGUAACC